rnacentral:rRNA from 1 species
GUAGGUGGCAAGCGUUGUCCGGAAUUAUUGGGCGUAAAGCGCGCGCAGGUGGUUCUUUAAGUCUGAUGUGAAAGACCCCCCCGGGCUCAACCGGGGGAGGGUCAUUGGAGACUGGGGAACCUGAGUGCAGGAGAGGAAAGUGGAAUUCCACGUGUAGCGGUGAAAUGCGUAGAUAUGUGGAGGAACACCAGUGGCGAAGGCGACUUUCUGGCCUGUAACUGACACUGAGGCGCGAAAGCGUGGGGAGCAAACAGGAUUAGAUACCCUGGUAGUCCACGCCGUAAACGAUGAGUGCUAAGUGUUGGGGGGGUUUCCGCCCCUCAGUGCUGCAGCUAACGCAUUAAGCACUCCGCCUGGGGAGUACGGUCGCAAAGACUG